GAAAGGUUAUCUUAAAUUGAAAUAAAAUCAUCUAAUUAAAUAACAGCAGAGCUAGUAGGAGGAACUGCAGCCAUUAUGAUCAAAUUGAACUAGAAACCUUGAAGAAAAAACAGCCAUUGAGAGGAAACCCCACAUGCUCUGAGUCUGGUACAGUCCAUCCAUGAGCAAGUAGUUCUGGUGAAAGCUGGGAGCAAGGGCAGCUUGUUACCAAGAAACAGAGUGUACUCCUCUGAAAUGGAGGCAUGAGGGAAGUGCUGGUUCCUGCUGCACGCCCUUGGUUUAAGCAGAUGGAAUCAGUGGCUUUCCAUUAGCAUCUGUGGAGCUGUCUUUCUAGUAGCUGAUUUCCAGUGGGCAUCUGAAGUGCCAAGUGGCUGAAAACCAACACCAUGUCUCAUCCUGUAGGGGAGUGUUGGCCACGGAACUGAAUUCCCAAUCCUUAAUUACUGUGUCUGUAUAGGUGAUGAGCUGCCUGGAGCCAUAAUCAGGUAGAAAAAGGCUCUGAAACAAAUCUAUAGAGCAAGUUCUAUAUUUAUGUAUAGCCCUGAUGAUUGUUCAGACAUUUUAGUACAAGUUGCUAAUACCACCGUAUUUUUAUCAUGUGAAUAUGACUGUGUUAGUGAUUGUUGGGGUUUCUGGACAUGGCCUUAGAGCUUCAGAAACAAGAAGUUAUUUCAGCUGGCUGGGUGCAUUUAACAGUGAAUUUCAUGCUAGCAGUUCUGUGGUGAAAGGAACUCAGUGUACUUAAGGAGAAAGAAGCAGCUUUUUUUUUUUUUUUUUAAAAAAAAAAAAACUGCACUGAUUUGGAACCUGUGAUCCCCUGAGGAAGCAUGUCUCAGCUAUAAAUACCCUCUGAGGUAGUGCAGUGGGUUAUCUGCACUGGGAUUAUCUUAUAGGUUUUGCAUUUGACUCUCUCAAGGGACAUUUUUAUUAUUCUCUGUGGAACAACAGUGAGGAAAAAUGACCAACAGGGAGAGUUUGAGAUAUCUUUAAUGAGAAGCUUCCUCCAUGGUUAAUUCUGCUCUCCAGGGUGAGCCUGCAGCUGUCCUGUAGCUAGCAGCCCAAGGACAGCUGGCCUCAUGGGGCAAAGUGUCACCUGGGAGCUGCAGAGAGAGCAGGAGUGAAAGUAACAGCUAAGCUUAUCUCAUAGAAUCUUUUUUUGAGUUGGAAGGGACCCUUACAGAUCAUCUAGUCCAAAUCCUCUGAAAUGAACAGGGAUACCUACAGCUAGAUCAGGUUGUUUGAAGCCCAGUCCAGCCUGACCCUGAAUGCCUCCAGGGAUGUGGGGUAUCCACCACCUCUCUGGGCAAGCUGUGCCAGUACCUCACCACUCUGAUUGUAUUAAAAUCUUUUU
ensembl:lncRNA